rnacentral:rRNA from 1 species
CAGCCGCCGCGGUAAUACGAAGGUCCCAAGCGUUGUUCGGAUUUACUGGGCGUAAAGAGUCUGUAGGCGGUAGAGUAAGUCAGAUGUGGAAUCCCGGAGCUCAACUCCGGAACUGCAUCCGAUACUGCUCUACUAGAGUAUUGGAGGGGAAUCUGGAAUUCUCGGUGUAGCAGUGAAAUGCGUAGAUAUCGAGAGGAACACUAGUGGCGAAGGCGAGAUUCUGGACAAUCACUGACGCUGAGAGACGAAGGCCAGGGUAGCGAAAAGGAUUAGAUACCCUUGUAGUCCUGGCAGUAAACGUUGCACGCUUGGUGUGGGAGGAUUCGACCCCUUCCGUGCCGGAGCUAACGCGUUAAGCGUGCCGCCUGGGGAGUACGGUCGCAAGAUUAAAACUCAAAGAAAUUGACGGGGACCCGCACAAGCGGUGGAGCAUGUGGCUUAAUUCGAUGCAACGCGAAGAACCUUACCUGGGCUUGACAUGUUUGUCGUAGAUUUGUGAAAGCUUAUCGUCACUUCGGGUGGACAAUCACAGGUGCUGCAUGGCUGUCGUCAGCUCGUGUCGUGAGAUGUUGGGUUAAGUCCCGCAACGAGCGCAACCCCUGUGGACUGUUGCCAGCACGUAAUGGUGGGGACUCUGUCCAGACUGCCCAGAUUAACUGGGAGGAAGGUGGGGAUGACGUCAAGUCAGUAUGGCCCUUACGCCCAGGGCUGCACACGUGCUACAAUGCCCAGUACAAUGUGAACCGAUACCGUGAGGUGGAGGAAAUCCUACAAAACUGGGCUCAGUUCGGAUUGUAGUCUGCAACUCGACUACAUGAAGUUGGAAUCGCUAGUAAUGGCUCAUCAGCUACGGAGCCGUGAAUACGUUCCCGGGUCUUGUACACACCNCCCGUCACAUCAUGGAAGCCGCUCGCACCCAAAGUAUCUGUGCUAACUUUUGAAGCAGGGUCCUAAGGUGUAGGUGGUAACUGGGAUGAAGUCGUAACAAGGUAACCGUA